GUGAGCGGGUGUGAGGCACACACUGUCAGUACAAAGAAGCGAAGGUGUUAAAACCUGACUUGUUCCUUAGCUGUAAUUAAGGGGCGCUGGAAAGUUGGUCUUGGCCAACAUCCGUGUGGCACACAGUAGUUUGGUGCUGGAUGACACUUCUGAGAGCUGAGCACGGUGGAAAUAGUCAAGGACAUAGGGGUGAAAGAAAGCUAAAUUGAGAUCAGGACACCUUAAUAAGUAAAGAAGAAAACCCGAAGUGAUGCAAGGUCACUCACCACCUCCCACCAGCAAGGCAAAUCUCAGCCAGUUCCUGGGCAACUUCCUUGGAAUCUCCCCCUUCUCUCCAGUUUUUAUUGCUGAAUGCGAUGUUGUGUGGUGUGGAAUAUCUUUUGGUCAGCUGGGGUCAGCUGUCCCAUCCCAGCCUCUUGCCCACCCCCAGCCUUCUUGCUGAGUGUGCAGAGGGAAAAAGAGGGAAGGCCUUGACCCAGGACAAGCAAUGUCCAGUAAUAGCUAAAAGAGUUCCAUCUUAGCACUGUUUGGGACACAAAUCCAAAACAUGGGACUAUAUGGGCUGCUGUGAAGAAAAACAACUCCAUCCCAGCCAAACGCUGUAGAGCAGGGCAACAUUGUGAAAGACAUGAUAAUCCAGGGGCCUUGAAACAGAGCUAGCAAAAGAAUUCAGAGAACAUACAAUCACAAAAAAAAAAAAAAUGCACUCACAGAUUUCAGUAAAAAAAAAUAGUUUAUACUAGAGGGAAAGCAAAAGUGAACAGAAUAUUCAUUCAACACUCAAGUGAGGAUAUCACUGGUGCUUUUCUCUGGAAGGAGUCAAACACAUACCUUUGAUCACAGGACUUACUUUGCAGCAUUGUGUCUGCACAGAGGAAUAUAAUACCUUAGCUGGAUAUCAAAUAUUAAAAGUUCUGACACAUCUAGUGCUGGAAUCAUUGAUUGUGAUGUUCACUGCAAAAUGAUGGAACUGCCUGAAUGGAAAGUCUGGAUGGCAAAAGGUCACAGGGUUCCAUUCAUCCAUUUCAGUGGAUCCUUCCUUUGAAUUGGAAUGGGAGUCCCUGCCUUCUUAAACCCACUGCUCCUAAGAUGCUUUUGGCUACAGUAAGAUGAAGAAUAUAACUUCUGAUGAAGGACUCGUGGGGAAAAUCUGUUUUAAUCCUCUGGUGAGUCCUGAAAUUAGAGAAUCUAGCUUGGUGGAAAGGAGCCCCACCAGCAGCUCUGAAGCUGUGUGCUGCAUGAAAGAGGCCUGGUGACUGCAAAGAAACCCUGUAACUCCUCUGGAAAUGCAAAUGCUGCUGCUGUUCUGCAGGACAGAACCAUGCUGAGCAUCCCAAAAAGGAAGAGGAGUGCAAGUAUCUUUUACAGCUCCAGGGAAAUGCAAGCAUAAACUCUGAUCUGAUGCUAAUGAAAGGACUCCAGCAGACUUUGGAAUAGGCCUAUAGAAAAGAUGUUUAUUCAGCCAAAGGAAAUCAGAAGACGAAACAUGAGAUAAAACAAAGAGAGAGCAUUUGUACAUAAGUCUUACCAGAAAACACGUUUGUUUCAGCAGUUUCCACAGAGCAUAAACACACCUGUUCAAGGUCAAGUGCCAAACCCAACUCUCUCUUAAAGACUGGCAUCUUCUGACUCAUGUCAACACUGCUGUUCAUCCAUUCCCUUUGUCUAGCUGUGCUUUUCAGCAGUUCAAUGUCUCUUUAUUCUCCCUGGACUCAGGAGAAAUUAACACUCGCCUGCCUGAAGAAGUAUACUCUGAGGAAUGUUUCACUUUCUACGUAUCUGACUUUUCUUUGGUCAUCUGAUAUUUCAAAGGUUUGCAAGGUUCCUCAAAUGGACCUUCAAAAGGGAAACUCUUUUUAUCAAACACAAAACCUAGGCAACAAGAUGUGAGCACUUCCAAGAAGAGCCUUCUGAGGACGCUCUUGUUUCUAUCACUGCAGUGUGGGUGCACAUUUCCACAGCUGAGGAUGCAGCUUCUGAAUGUCCCUCUGUGUGUAUUCACUUCUAAGGUUCCUAUCUAAAAUGUUGUGGGAUUUUUUUUCCCUCCUUACGUCCUUCACAAAACAAACUCUCAGUUUCCAGGUGAAGCCUGUCAUCAUUAAUCUAAUCAUACUUUGCACAGCCUUUGAUUUUUUUGCAUCCUCAGCCUUGACCCAGUGAUAAAUCAGAGUAGUGGAAAGCUCAGUAAUGUCAAAAGCUUCCUGGUGAAUGUGCAAUGGGAAGUCAUUCAGCAGUAAGUAAAUAACCCUUGCAAGUCACACUGUUAGAAAAGAUUGCUUCUACUCUUCCCUUGAGCAGGAUGUCUCAUAUCUUGCUCCAUAUCACCAUGGAUCACAGCAGGAUACCACAGAAAAGAAUUUCUCACCUUCCAAGUCAGUUACUUCUUAUGAUAAAUGCAUUUGCAAGCUGCAGUGUAAAACUUAGUUAAAAUUAUAGCUGCUUUCACUUUUUGAGUUUGCAAUGUUCCACUAUUUCUGGUCUGUUUUAAUGUCCUAACAAAAUGUGACCUGAUUUAAGAUUUCUGUUUUAGUGGAAUCUAAGUGUCCUAUAGGUCUUUAGGGAUUUUGUUGGGGGUUUUUUUGUUUGGUUU